AGUUUUUAAAUAUUUAUUUUUACCAAUGCCUUUCUCCCCACUGCCUUUAGAAAGACCAAUCAGCUGUGAUAUGUGUAGAAAAGAGGAUGUGUGUCAGCUGGUGGGAUGAGGGGAAGAGAUUGUACAGUUGCUCCCUUGUAACUGGGCAAUUAAAACUCCAAAUGACAAAUCAGCAGAAGUUAAUAAUUGCUUAUAAAGAUGGUUGAAAAUAUUAAUUACCAAUUGAAAUAUUAUAGAGGCUAACUAAAUCAGGUAGGAGCUGGGGAACUCUGGGAACAUCUGGAAAAUAUGACCCAAGUUUAACACAUAGAAUUUUAUAGAAGUAGAGCAGGGACUCAGAUUUUUAGGUUAUUUGUCCAAAAUAGCAGUUUCAGUCUUUGCUGUGCAUCAGAACCACUUUGGUACUUAUUAAAUUUAGAUUUUGUAUCCAACUCUCAAAGAACUUAAAAAUUGCUGGCAUGGCAGUUUCCAGAUAUCUGUAAUUUUUAACAAGAUAGUUGAAUGAUUCUGAUUGAAAUAGUGCACAGACCAGACCAGAGACAUAACCUUGAAAAUGGGGCCAACCUUGAGCUCUCAGACAGCCCUGCGUAAUUACCGUUAGUAAAUAAACAUAAUAUUUGUGCUCACUGUCAAUGCAGACAGGGAGACGCUGCCUCACCAAGUGAUCUGGCAUACCCAGUCACAGUGUAUGUGGAUUCUAAAUCAUUUUACUGAUGGUUUCUCUAACUUUCAAAAAAGCAAAGCUUCCUCUUCAAGGCUAUUCUGGUGUACCGUUGUCAUUUGCUUCAAGAAGAUUUGAUACUUGCUUGAACUCUAAUGUGUUUUCUAUAACUUGUAAAUGUGUGCCUACGCUGUGUAGUUUAGGACUCUGGUGAUGACUGACAGUGACCUCCGUUCUCCAUAUGAAAACAGGGAUGGAACUGAUUCCAGUUACUUUUUUUCUUUCAGGUUAACUCUCUCCCACCACUUUACCCUUUCUUCAUAGAGCCUCUUCUCCAUCUCUUGACUCAUUUGUAUUAUUCACCAGAUUCUCUUCAUCACCUUAACAGUAUUAAAAACUGGCACAAUGAUCUGGCUAUUACUAACGUGGAACAUAGUGGGAUGAUUCCAUGACUCCGUAAGGGCAGUUUUCAGGUUACCACUAACAAAAUGCUUCAACAUGCAUUAUUCCAUUUAUUCGACAACUCUGCAAGGUGGGUUUUAGUGCCUUAAUUUUAUAGGUAAGAAAAAUCUAGAUUUAGAAAUGCUCAACUCUAAUUUAAAUGACAGAUACGUAACACACCAAAAAUGUUUAGUCAAGAUUCUCUGUUUUUGUUACUACUCCCCUAUAUUUUAUUUUAAUAUAGAAUAGCCAGGAGGUCAGUGACACAGAAGCUCUGACUGGGUGAACCUCAGGAAUAGGGGCCAUUGUGUUCCAUAGGUAUCCAUGAGUUGUUCUAGAAUGCAAUCUAACAACACUAUAUUCUCACCACAGUCUUCAGAGGAAAUUUCUAUUCAGAACUAGACUAGCUAUUAAACUCUAAUGCACACUGGAAUCACCUCCAAUUCCCACGAUAGCUUUCUAUUCUUGCUGGUCACCUUUUUGAAUGCAUUGGGUAACAGUAGACAAAUUUAAAAUCGUGUCUGUUAUGAACUUUGUUCCAUAAUGAUUCACUUUUUUUUUUCCUCUCUGAGUCACUCGUUUUGUUUUUCAAGUCAGGUUUACUGAGAUAGAUUUUACAUACAUUAAAAAUUUACCAAUAUUCACCACUUUUGGUGUGCCUUCCAGUUAGUUUUGACAAAUAUGUAUAAUCAUCUAACCACAACAACAGUCAAGACACAGAAUAUUUCCCUCACCCCCCAAAAACUCCUCUCAUGGUCCUUGGUUGUCAAUCCUCUGCUUCUACCACAGUCCCUGGAAACUACUGAUCUGAUUUUAGUCACAGUAUUUUACUUUUUCUAGCUGUUACAUAAAUGAAGAAUGACACCUUUUGCCUCUGAUUCUUUUCACUUAUCACAAUGCUUCCUUCUAUUCAGUUGAAUCAUAUUAUGAUUUCCAUAUCCCUGAUUUCCAAGCAUCCUCAUACUUAAUCUAUAUUCUUUUCUGUCAAAUAUCCCUGGACUGUUAUUUUUCUCAGGAACUUGAAACAUUUAACAUGUUAAUGAGGCUAAUUAGAGGAUCUUAUUAGAUGGAGUGAAAAUGUGUAUAGUGCAUAUUAAACAAAGUUAGGCCUUUUCUCCCAAUAUAAAAUAUAUAGAGUUGCUCAGACAUCAGCACCAUGUGUCUAUCAGACAGGAGUUCUUCAUGACUGCAUGCGUGCUCUUCACCUGCUUAGUGUGUACAACCUGUUGGGACAAUCCUAUUCUGACACUGUGACUUACCAGUCAAGGUAAAUUCAACAAGGAUGAUGAGAUUCUGGUGACCUGAAAGCAGUUUUGCUGAUAGGAAAAAGAGAGCCUUGUAUACUUUCUCAGGAUCUGGGGGCUCUUUUAUGCAUGUUGGGCAGAGAUGGCAGUGGCAGAAAAAUCACUGUCCUGUAGUUAUUCCCCACUGGGUACAAGUGGGAGUUCUCAUUUUUAAUGGCUUUGAGCGUGAUUCUGAUCAUCAUCCAGGUUUGACAACUAUAGAGCUUCUGUAAAGCCCCAUUAUUCUUCCCAUCUUGCCAGUCUGGUAAUAUAGUCAUUUAUUUAUUUUAUUUGCAUUCAAAGAGCAACAAAAUUAUAUAGACAAACAUAUGUAAUGCAACAUUAUGUGAAAAUAUGCUCAUGGUUCUCAAGAUUCUAAAUACAGAUAAUUCAGCAUGAAUAUUCAUGGUAUAGUUAACUGGGUUGCACGUUCUUAUUUGCACUGAAAAUUGAUGGGGAUAAAUGAAACAGACUUGCAUACAAAUUCUUGUGACUAUAUGCUUUCAAAUCUUACUGCUUCCCAGCUCUAUUUAUCUCCAUUUAUAUUGCCUUUUGCAUAUGAGUGAAAAUCAGUCACAAUAUUGUAAACACAUGUUAGAAAUAUAAUGCAUUAUUCCAUGCCACAAGUGAGGAAGAGGAAAACAGAUUACAAACAAACCAAAAAAAUGCAUUAGUGAACAGGGACGUAUCAGGGAGAAGGGGAGUCUUCUUGUGACUGUGAAAUGUACAAAAUCAAUGUUAUUUUCCUAAAUCUGAGGCCAAGAUGACUUACUUCUGUUGCAUGAUAAAGAUGCAGGCCAAGUUGACCAAAGAAUAAUGAAAGGACAUUUUUGCCAGAGAGAGAGGCAGACAGCAGAUUCAAAGCAGGCUCCACACUGACAGCAGCUAUCCCGAUGCGGGGCUUGAACUCAAGAACUGUGAGAUCAUGACCUGAGCCAAAGUCCAGCACUUAACAACUGAGCCACCCAGGCUUCACACCCAGUGCAGGGCUCAACAUGGAGCUUGAACUCACAACCCUGAGGUGAAGACCUGAGCUGAGAUCAAGAGUCUGGCUCUUAACCAACUGAGUCACCCAGGCACCCCAUCUUUUUAAAUUCCCCAGGUCCAGAGAUGUUGGAGAGUUGGAGCAAAACCAAAAUUACUGGUUCCUUGAAGAUUCUUUUCUUCCUUAGCAAAUGGUUCUGAUCAGGCUUUCAGCAACUAAGGUACUGGAAACAAUUUUGUGUAAAUGUCUUUGCUACUAGAUUCAAAUGCAUUCUUGGAGCUGAAAUGAAAUAACAAAAGGGAGGACAGUGCGGCAAGUUGGGAAAACCAUCUGUUUCAUCACAGGAAUUGAUUGAACUUGAUACACAGAUCGGAGAUAAUUUAUUCAUGAUAAUGACUCUUCUCCUAAUGUCCCAGAUAACUUUUUGUCCCAAUGGUAGCCCCUGGAUUACUUCUAAUUCAAACCCUUUGGAACUCGGUCUCCAUAACCUCUCUUCAGCACAAGGAACACAAGCAUUCCGUGAACAUUCAGUGGACAAAAUCAGUAAAAUUCUUAAUACAAAUAGUCCUAGAAUGAUUUAAUUAUUCAACAUCAGAUUGUCCUGUCCCCUCAGACAUAUUAUUGAACAAGACGGAUAUUAAUAAGGAAUUUUACAAAUAGGUUUGAUCCUUUUAUAAACCCAAUCUGAAAAUCUAGAGUAUUUUUGACAUUUGUCUUUGUAUUUCUCUUUUAAUAUUAAAAUAGCAUAUAUCAAGUCUUAUA